rnacentral:misc_RNA from 1 species
GGUUGCCGAUGCUGGCCGGGAUCGGCCCACUGAGCUCGUUGUCGUAGAGCGUCAGAUACACCAGGCUGGUGAGGUUGCCGAUGUCAUCCGGGAUGGCUCCACGCAGGGAGUUGGAGUUGAGCGCGAGCGACUCGAGCUUGGUGAGCCGGCACAGCUCGGCGGGGAUCGCGCCGGUGAGCUGGUUCUUGCUGAGGUCGAGGGUGGUCAGCUCGCCGUACCCGCCGAUCUCCUUCGGUAUCGCGCCGGUGAGGUUCGUGCCAGAGAGCUCCAGCGUCUUGAGCGACGCUGCAAGCGGCUGCAGGUUGCCCGGGAGCGGACCCUGCAGGUCGACCGAGGUGAUGCUCAGUCCGACGACGUCGCCGCGCGCGUUGCACGACACGCCGGUCCACCGGCACGGGUUCGCGUCCGCGGAGCGCCACGACGCCAGCGCGCCGCUCGGCGG